rnacentral:lncRNA from 1 species
AAGGCUCUAAACGUACCUUAUGGAUCAUGAUGAAAGGAACCAGGGUGCUGGCCUAGAGAUGAGAUGAUGUCAGGGAGGAGAGUUUUAGAUCUUCCAACAUAUGGAUGUUUCUCCUGUACAGUGAGGACUGGUUGGUGAUGAAGCGGGUUCAGCAUCAUCUGAAAACACAGUCAGUGCUUCCCAAAUAAUAAAUAGGUUUGGUUUGGGAGGUAAAUUCUUAAUUACUGUAUGUUCAAGAAAAUACUAACCAAUCAUAUCAUGAAUAUGUUAUACAGCAUAUUCAAGCACUAGAUGAAUAGCUUUAUUACAAAAGGGUAAGGCAUCUAAGAGUUUUUAAUAAGCUCUAUGUAUGUGUCUGGUAAUUAUCACUUCAAGGAACCGGAUAUGCGUAUAUCUACUUCUUGCAUAUUGUUUGUCUCCAUAAGAUUGUAAGAUCCUUUAGGAUAGGGGCCUUGCCAUUCCUACUCAUCACUUUACUGCCGUGCCUGGGAAAUAGCAGGUAUUCGGUGAACACUGUUGAAUAAAUGUUGGCAUUCCUUUCAACUGUCAAACAUCCCUGUGGGGUAGACACGGCCAUCCUCAGCUCACAAUGGUGAAAAUUAGAUCCACUAAGCUAUAAUAACUUGAUCAAUUUGCCCAAAUAGAACUAGCUCUGAUUCCAAAACCCAGGCUUGUCUCUACAUUUGAAAUGUUUAGGAAGGAAAAAAAGCAAACGAAAAAAACAAUAGGUAAAUAACCGGUCUGUUGCUGUGUAGACUGCUCCGCUCUACUUCCCUGUGUCACUUGUUGCCAUGGUUUCUUUUGUUAGCUCACCAGCCAACGGUGGUUUAACUAUUGAUCUAACUACUAAGCUAAAAUUAGACACUUGGAUAUUGAACACUUAUCCAGCCACGAGUCUGGGCCUCCCCGACCCUUAACUAUUGGAAUAUAACUGACCAAGAACUUCACCUGCUGCCCUCUGAAAUGUGUCACCGUGUUUGCUUGCACCAGUGCCAUGCUCCCCACAGCCAGGUCCCCACC